rnacentral:rRNA from 1 species
UACAGAGGUCCCAAGCGUUUGUUCGGAUUCAUUGGGCGUAAAGGGUGCGUAGGCGGCGCGGUAAGUCGGGUGUGAAAUCUCGGAGCUUAACUCCGAAACUGCAUUCGAUACUGCCGUGCUUGAGGACUGGAGAGGAGACUGGAAUUUACGGUGUAGCGGUGAAAUGCGUAGAUAUCGUAAGGAAGACCAGUGGCGAAGGCGGGUCUCUGGACAGUUCCUGACGCUGAGGCACGAAGGCCAGGGGGAGCAAACAGG